rnacentral:lncRNA from 1 species
GAGGGCAAUCAUUCCUGUGUGAGCAGGCGUUUCUCCCGCUGCACCGCAGUCUCCAGGGCCUAAGCAGAUGUCUGGUCACCACAACGGAAACUGAGAAGGAUUGCAGUUAGGAGCCACAGUG